rnacentral:tRNA from 1 species
GACAGUGUGGCCGAGUGGUCUAAGGCGCUAGAUUAGAAUGUUCCAUUAGGAAUAUAUAAUCUAUCUAGUCCCUGCGGGGUCGCCAGUUCGAAUCUGGUCGCUGUCG